rnacentral:rRNA from 1 species
UACGAAGGUGGCAAGCGUUGUUCGGAUUUACUGGGCGUACAGGGAGCGUAGGCGGUUGGAUAAGCCCUCCGUGAAAUCUCCAGGCUUAACCUGGGAAGUGCAGAGGGGACUGUUCAGCUAGAGGAUGGGAGAGGAGCGCGGAAUUCCCGGUGUAGCGGUGAAAUGCGUAGAGAUCGGGAGGAAGGCCGGUGGCGAAGGCGGCGCUCUGGAACAUUUCUGACGCUGAGGCUCGAAAGCGUGGGGAGCAAACAGG